AGAGUUUGAUCCUGGCUCAGGAUGAACGCUAGCUACAGGCUUAACACAUGCAAGUCGAGGGGAAACGACAUCGAAAGCUUGCUUUUGAUGGGCGUCGACCGGCGCACGGGUGAGUAACGCGUAUCCAACCUGCCCACCACUUGGGGAUAACCUUGCGAAAGUAAGACUAAUACCCAAUGACGUCUCUAGAAGACACCUGAAGGAGAUUAAAGAUUUAUCGGUGAUGGAUGGGGAUGCGUCUGAUUAGCUUGUUGGCGGGGUAACGGCCACCGAAGGCGACGAUCAGUAGGGGUUCUGAGGAGGAAGGUCCCCCACAUUGGAACUGAGACACGGUCCAAACUCCUACGGGAGGCA
rnacentral:rRNA from 1 species